rnacentral:rRNA from 1 species
CCUACGGGAGGCAGCAGUGGGGAAUUUUGGACAAUGGGCGCAAGCCUGAUCCAGCAAUGCCGCGUGAGUGAAGAAGGCCUUCGGGUUGUAAAGCUCUUUUGUCAGGGAAGAAACGGUGGGGGCUAAUAUCUCCCACUAAUGACGGUACCUGAAGAAUAAGCACCGGCUAACUACGUGCCAGCAGCCGCGGUAAUACGUAGGGUGCAAGCGUUAAUCGGAAUUACUGGGCGUAAAGCGUGCGCAGGCGGUUUUGUAAGUUUGUCGUGAAAUCCCCGGGCUCAACCUGGGAAUGGCGAUGAAGACUGCAAGGCUAGAAUCUGGCAGAGGGGGGUUAGAAUUCCACGUGUAGCAGUGAAAUGCGUAGAGAUGUGGAGGAACACCGAUGGCGAAGGCAGCCCCCUGGGUCAAGAUUGACGCUCAUGCACGAAAGCGUGGGGAGCAAACAGGAUUAGAUACCCUGGUAGUCCACGCCCUAAACGAUGUCUACUAGUUGUCGGGUUUUAAUUAACUUGGUAACGCAGCUAACGCGUGAAGUAGACCGCCUGGGGGAUACGGUCGCAAGAUUAAAACCGUCAAAGGAAUUGACGG